AUAAAUGAGAGAAGAGAAGAAAACUUCUCCCACCUCAGGACAUUUCAAUUAUCCUCUGAAAUGGAAUAAUCCUCAUUGAAAGCAUGAUACUAGAAGCUCAUGAGGAUUAUUUUCAAAGAAAGCUGUGCAGAAGAGUUGGCUCAGCAGGCUUGGCAUGCUCAAACCAGCUCCUGGGAGAUAACCUACGAGCCCUUGGAAUAGUCUGUGCAAUAGGGUAUGUUUGUAUAUCCAGGACCUGGGUCUGCCAAAGAGUUUAUGCU
rnacentral:lncRNA from 10 species